AUUGAACGCUGGCGGCAGGCCUAACACAUGCAAGUCGAACGAGUGGCGGACGGGGGAGAAAUGUCUGGGGAACAGUGCGAUGGAGGGGGAUAAAUACUGGAAAAGGUAGAUAAUACCGCAUACGACCGGAGGUGUCCAGAUGGGAUUAGCGAGUGGGGGGGGUAACGGCUCACCUAGGCGACGAGCCCUAGCUGGGCUGAGAGGAUGACCAGCCACACUGGAACUGAGACACGGUCCAGACUCCUACGGGGGGCAGCAGUGGGGAAUAUUGCACAAGGGGCGCAAGCUUGAUGCAGCCAUGCCGCGUGUAUGAAGAAGGCCUUCGGGUUGUAAAGUACUUUCAGCGAGGAGGCGUGACUCGCAGAAGAAGCACCGGCUAACUCCGUGCCAGCAGCCGCGGUAAUUC
rnacentral:rRNA from 1 species